rnacentral:rRNA from 1 species
GAUGAACGCUGGCGGCAGGCCUAACACAUGCAAGUCGAACGAGUGGCGGACGGGUGAGUAAUGUCUGGGAAACUGCCCGAUGGAGGGGGAUAACUACUGGAAACGGUAGCUAAUACCGCAUACCAUCGGAUGUGCCCAGAUUGGAUUAGCUUGUAGGUGAGGUAACGGCUCACCUAGGCGACGAUCCCUAGCUGGUCUGAGAGGAUGACCAGCAACACGGGAACUGGGACACGGUCCAGAUUCCUACGGAAGGCAGCAGGGGGGAAUAUUGGACAAUGAGGGAAGGCCUGAUCAGGACAUGCCGCGUGUGUGAAGAAGGUCUUCGGAUUGUAAAGCACUUUAAGUUGGGAGGCGUUACCGACAGAGUAAGCAACGGCUAACUUCGUGCCAGCAGCCGCGGUAAUUC